GGGCCACACUGACUUUGCCAUUUUAAAUUUUGAAUAACUUUCUUAUUUUAAGUGCAUUUAACGGCGGUGUUUCACUUUUGUGCAAUGCUUGGAUUUUGGGUUCCUUUGAUAUAAGAUAAUAGUAGAGCGAAGCUUGUCAAAGUGAAAGAAAAAAUCAAAGCACGAGGCCACUUAGCAAGUACUUACGCCAUUACUACCACCUACGCUUCGUGAACACGUGGGCAGUAAGCUGACUGCAAGAAAAUGGCGACGAUUCAACAGCAGAGGGAACAGGAAGGAAAUAUGACGAAAAGGACAAAGAAUAUGACUGAAAUCACAGGCGAAGACAAUUAGAGGCAACAUUUAAGAGGACGGCAUACGCUACAACCACGCAGAUGGUUUUCUCCGAGGUUUUCUCUUCUUUGAGGACCACUAUUGGCAGAAUGAUAGGCUUGAUGUACAAGCAAGACUUAGUGUGUCUGAGUUUAUUUGUUACUCAUCUCAGUUGAGAAUCCAGUGAUGAACCUGAUUAGAUGAGCAAUUCCACCAGUCAGAUAGCUGGAACCCAAAACUCGGCCAUUCUCUAUGAUAUCAAGGCUGCAACUGACAAGGCCAUUUGACUAUUUUUUAUCUCUUAUUUUAUAUACUUUUGGUUUUAAUAAAAAUUACAAAUGUACUGUA